rnacentral:lncRNA from 1 species
CUGAGCUCAAUUUUAGGGCUAAAAACCAUCCAUUUCAGCUAGAAUUAAACUUUAAAGCUUCGUAUUUAAAAUAUUAGACAUUAUACAUACGGGUAUUUACCAGUGAACAAUCGUAUUCUGACGUCAUUUGCCCCUGCACUUCGAAGAAGAAGGACCUUCGGCUUCUGCGCUUCUCGACCAAAAAUUAAUGAACCACAAGCAUUGAUUUUCUGCCAAGGAACGAGUAUAAAUACCAAUCAAAUACCAUAGUAAUGUCGAGGAACGUGUGAGAGAGACGUUUGGAAGACAUUUUGAAGAAAAUGACGAAGAAAUGGCGGUAAAAUUGCGAAGACCAAUUCGGCCAGGUCGAAGGAAUUCCAAACCAAGAUGGCGUCGCCUUCUUCUCCAAUCUGAAAAUGCAUUGAAAGUCACUUUAGUUGGGUUGGAUAUCAACAAUAUAGGAUAUUUAUUACAUAUGUAAGUUUUCCUACAACUUUUUAAGUAUGGAAAAGUAGAAUAUUUUUUUUACAAAAAUUAAUAUUAUUUUAGUAAAAAUUUCUACCUGAUCAUAAGUAAUGAGCUUUCUUCAGCAGUGAACAUUUGCGGACGGCUGUACCCUAAGACUACAAAUGUUAAUUAAUAAUUACUGAUAAGUCAAAACCUUAAUGGUUUGGACAUAAUCUUUAAAAAUAUUGACCGCAAAGUAGGAACAUUUCCCCCUGUAGCAAUAGAUAUUGCUUUAGCAUCCCCCCCCCCCCAAGCUAUUCAUCUUUUUUUCCUAUUUGACAAUUUUCUUAAAGGAGGAACCAUACAAGAUGAAACCAGUGACUGAAAAGAUGAGGCCUGCAUUGUCUGAGGUAUAUUAAUUUUCAUAUCUCUGGUUUAAUUUAUUGCAGAAUUUAAAAAAAUCCUCUAUUGGAUAGAACAGGUUUUUUAUUUUAUUGCACGUAUAUUUUAUUGAAUGUAUUCAAUUUAGAUGUAUCAAUUUUUUUGGAACAGCUUGUUAGGGAUGCAUAGAGAUAGGUAGUUCUAUUACAGUAAUACAGUGUCUAACAUUUUGCAUUAUAUUACAGAACCCCCCAAAAACGUUGAUAUGAAAAGCCACACUGGAAAUAAAGGACAUGGAUAGUGCCUUCAAGAUCAUUAGAAAUGG